GAUGAACGCUAGCGGCAGGCCCAAUACAUGCAAGUCGAACGAUAGUGAGAAGCUUGCUUCUCACGAAAGUGGCGCACGGGUGCGUAACGCGUAUGCAACCUACCUUAAUCAGGGGGAUAGCCCGAAGAAAUUCGGAUUAACACCGCAUAAAAUCACAGUAUAGCAUUAUACAAUGAUCAAAUAUUUAUAGGAUUAAGAUGGGCAUGCGUGACAUUAGUUAGUUGGCGGGGUAACGGCCCACCAAGACCACGAUGUCUAGGGGAUCUGAGAGGAUGACCCCCCACGCUGGUACUGAGACACGGACCAGACUCCUACGGGAGGCAGCAGUAAGGAAUAUUGGUCAAUGGAGGCAACUCUGAACCAGCCAUGCCGCGUGCAGGAAGACAGCCCUCUGGGUCGUAAACUGCUUUUAUUCGGGAAUAAACCUAUCUACGUGUAGAUAGCUGAAUGUACCGAAGGAAUAAGGAUCGGCUAACUCCGUGCCAGCCGCCGCGGUAA
rnacentral:rRNA from 1 species